rnacentral:rRNA from 1 species
GGGGAAUAUUGGACAAUGGGCGCAAGCCUGAUCCAGCCAUACCGCGUGGGUGAAGAAGGCCUUCGGGUUGUAAAGCCCUUUUGUUGGGAAAGAAAUCCAGCUGGCUAAUACCCGGUUGGGAUGACGGUACCCAAAGAAUAAGCACCGGCUAACUUCGUGCCAGCAGCCGCGGUAAUACGAAGGGUGCAAGCGUUACUCGGAAUUACUGGGCGUAAAGCGUGCGUAGGUGGUCGUUUAAGUCCGUUGUGAAAGCCCUGGGCUCAACCUGGGAACUGCAGUGGAUACUGGACGACUAGAGUGUGGUAGAGGGUAGCGGAAUUCCUGGUGUAGCAGUGAAAUGCGUAGAGAUCAGGAGGAACAUCCAUGGCGAAGGCAGCUACCUGGACCAACACUGACACUGAGGCACGAAAGCGUGGGGAGCAAACA